rnacentral:tRNA from 1 species
GCCAUUGUGGCUAAAUGGUGAGAGCAUCGGCCCGCGCACCGAAAGGAUCACGGAUUCAAUUCCUGAUCAAGGGCA